rnacentral:rRNA from 1 species
UGGGGAAUAUUGCACAAUGGGCGCAAGCCUGAUGCAGCCAUGCCGCGUGUGUGAAGAAGGCCUUCGGGUUGUAAAGCACUUUCAGCGAGGAGGAAGGGUGGUGUGUUAAUAGCACAUUGCAUUGACGUUACUCGCAGAAGAAGCACCGGCUAACUCCGUGCCAGCAGCCGCGGUAAUACGGAGGGUGCAAGCGUUAAUCGGAAUUACUGGGCGUAAAGCGCACGCAGGCGGUUUGUUAAGUCAGAUGUGAAAUCCCCGCGCUUAACGUGGGAACUGCAUUUGAAACUGGCAAGCUAGAGUCUUGUAGAGGGGGGUAGAAUGCCAGGUGUAGCGGUGAAAUGCGUAGAGAUCUGGAGGAAUACCGGUGGCGAAGGCGGCCCCCUGGACAAAGACUGACGCUCAGGUGCGAAAGCGUGGGGAGCAAACA